rnacentral:lncRNA from 1 species
CUUGUUCUAGAAAACUUCGACUCGAGCAAUGGCAGGACCAAAAACAUUAACAAUCUCGUGGCUCAAGUACAAACAUUCGCAAUUUUGAGGACCCAAACUGGAUUUAACAGUUGAACAAACGAAGAGCCUGUUUCGACUGUAGAGAACGAAAAAUGGGAAACCAAAAAUCCAAGGGAAGAAGACUCAAAACAGACCAUGAUAGAGAGAAUACAAAGAGUCAGAAAUCUCGUGUGGACAGUGCCGCUCAUUGCACCGAUGGUGCUGCGUUCGCACCAACACUCUCAUCAUUCUCUUUCAUUCCUUUCAAGCUUUGAACAAAUGUAUUUACAUCCAGCGAAAACAAAGAUCGAAAUACCGAAGCUUGAUGUAUAUAUAUAUAUAUCUAUCUAUCUAUCUAUUUAAAGACAAAUCGUAAAGAAAAGAAAAAGCUUUUCAUCCAAGUUCGUUACUUCCUC